AACGAACGCUGGCGGCAGGCUUAACACAUGCAAGUCGAACGCCCCGCAAGGGGAGUGGCAGACGGGUGAGUAACGCGUGGGAACCUACCCAUCACUACGGAACAACUCCGGGAAACUGGAGCUAAUACCGUAUACGUCCUUCGGGAGAAAGAUUUAUCGGUGAUGGAUGAGCCCGCGUUGGAUUAGCUAGUUGGUGGGGUAAUGGCCUACCAAGGCGACGAUCCAUAGCUGGUCUGAGAGGAUGAUCAGCCACACUGGGACUGAGACACGGCCCAGACUCCUACGGGAGGCAGCAGUGGGGAAUAUUGGACAAUGGGCGAAAGCCUGAUCCAGCCAUGCCGCGUGAGUGAUGACGGCCCUAGGGUUGUAAAGCUCUUUCGCGGGUGAAGAUAAUGACGGUAACCUGAGAAGAAGCCCCGGCUAACUUCGUGCCAGCAGCCGCGGUAACAC
rnacentral:rRNA from 1 species